rnacentral:rRNA from 1 species
AUUGAACGCUGGCGGCAGGCCUAACACAUGCAAGUCGAACGAGUGGCGGACGGGUGAGUAAUGUCUGGGAAACUGCCCGAUGGAGGGGGAUAACUACUGGAAACGGUAGCUAAUACCGCAUACCAUCGGAUGUGCCCAGAUGGGAUUAGCUAGUAGGUGGGGUAACGGCUCACCUAGGCGACGAUCCCUAGCUGGUCUGAGAGGAUGACCAGCCACACGGGAGCGGAGACACGGUCCAGAAUCCUACGGGAGGCAGCAGUGGGGAAGAUUGCACAAUGGGCGCAAUCCUGAUGCAGCCAUGCCGCGUGUAUGAAGAAGGCCUUCGGGUUGUAAAGUACUUUCAGCGGGGAGGCGUUACUCGCAGAAGAAGCACCGGCUAACUCCGUGCCAGCAGCCGCGGUAAUAC